GAACCCCCCUUCACUGGGCUGCGAUCAAAGGACAUCUGGAGGUGCUGCAGCUCCUGAUAGACCACGGAGCCAGGCCCUGCCUGGUCACUGAUGUGGGCUGGACCCCAGCUCAUUUUGCAGCUGAGUCGGGCCACCUGCAUGUGCUCAAAACGCUGCACGCGCUGCACGCCGCCAUCGAUGCCCCGGACUUCUUUGGAGACACGCCGAAGAGGAUCGCGCAGAUCUACGGGCAGAAGGCCUGUGUGGCCUUCCUGGAGAAAUGACAGAGGUGCCCUGGCUGUGUACAGAAGGCAGAGGAGAGGUCCCUCCGCAGGCCAGGCAGGCUGUCUGGUCCCCAGAUUGUGGGCUGAGAGCUGGCUCCCUUCUUCUAGGGCUGAGCCUCAGUGCCGGGACCACCGCCAGGCUGCCAGGCAGAAGGGGCUGCAGCUGGAUCAGCGGGACGAAGACUGGGAUGCCAAGAAGAGGGAGAUGGAGCUGUCGCUUCCUUCCUGGAAUCCAAACCCUGAGAAGAAAAAGAGUAAGAAACAUCGAGGGUCCACCAAGCUCAGCAACACUAAGGAGAGGAGAGCGUGAGAGGAUGGCCUCCGAGGGAUGGGAGCCUCUGAGGGAUGGCAGGAGACUUUCCCUGGUGCCAGAAUGGUUAUUAGGUAUGUGUCCUCCUGCUCCAUCCUAGACCAUUAAUUAUCCAGACAGCUUCUACCUGUAUCUCCUGACCUAUCAUUCAGCCUGGAAGUCUUGCCUGGACUCUCUACAUGGGCUGUCCCCUCCUUGCUAAUACCUGCUUGUCCCCAAGAAUGACCAGGAGGGAACAAAUGUGAUUUGCACUGUCGUCACUGCUUUGUACUGUCAGCAUCUCCUGAGCCCCUCAAUGCAAUUCUAGAGCUCCAGGCGCAAAGAAAAAUCUCCUCCUGAGGAAACUUCAUUGUUUCAAUGCAAAAAAAAAAAAAAAAAAAGCAACAACUGUAUCUGAAAAAUCUUCAACAUUCUCAGGUCAGUUAAUCUAUGAACAAAAGUUUGUUGUCACAUAGACCAAGCACAAAGAGGAAGAGAUGGGUCUUAGUUUCCAGCUAUUUAUUCUUAUGAGGGAUAGAAAACCACAAUUUCAGCAGGGCCAUUUUUACCACCAAUCCCUUCUACGUAGGAGAAAACAACCCGGACAAUAGACCAGCUCAGUGAGAAAUAAAAACCUUGGUUUAAUCUCUUCCCACUUAAUAAUGACACAUGGCAUAAAAUAAUGGAACAUGUGAUGACAGCUCUGUUUGAUCAGUGGUAUAUUUUAGAAAAUCUAAAUACAGAUCAGAUGCUGCCAAUGAAAAUAUUGCAUUGGCAUUGAGAUGCACUGUAAAUGUAAAAUGCGUAUUAUAUUUUGAAGACCUAGGAUAAAAAAUCAUGAAUCAUUAAUAAUAAUUAAUACUAAAUGUUAAAAUUUUUUUUUGGUCUUUUUGUCUUUUCUAGGGCCACACCCGUGGCAUAUGGAGGUUCCCAGGCUAGGGCUCUAAUCGGAGCUGUAGCUGCCAGCCUACACCACAGCCACGGCAACGAGGGAUCUGAGCCGCAUCUGUGACCUACAUCACAGCUCACGGCAAUGCCGGAUCCUUAACCCACUGAGUGAGGCCAGGGAUCAAACCCAAAACCUCAUGGUUCUCAGUCGGAUUUGUUAACCACUGAGCCACAAUGGGAACUCCUAUUUUGGAUAUUAUAUUAACUAAAAGGUAUUACUAACAUAAAUUUUACCUUUUAUCUUUUCAGUUUUUUUUUUAAAUGUGUCUAGUAGACUGUUUAAAAUUAUAUAAGUGGCUCCCCCCCACCCCCACCCCCGCCAUCAGAUAGCAGUGCAGUAGAAACUGAACCAUAUUUAGAGCCUCCACCAGGCAGCUGGGCUGGAGCACUUGAAGUGGCUAGUUUCUAGUUCUGCUUCCUUACUCAGAAAAUCAGCGAUACCGCUUUCAUAAUGAGUUCCUCUUUUGCUGACAGUAUGGUGAAUUAAUUGUUUUCCUCCUAAAACCAGUCUUUCUUAGUAAGCACAACCUUUAAAGAUCACAGACUUAUGAGUUAAGCAGACUUAGGUUUGUAUCCUCCUCUAGGAAAUAAGCGAAAUAAUCCUUACUUCCUGGGAUUGCUGUGCAGGAUGAGAUGAUGCAUAAGGUGCUCGCAGCGGCACUCUGUAACUGGUCCAGGUAAUGGCUAUUGUAUUACUAUAGGAGUGAGUUCAGCUUUUCUUGAGAAUUCCAAAGGGAUCCAGGAAGGAUGCCUGGCGCUCCAUUGUCCAGGCGCUCCAUUGUCCAGUCCAUAAAUAUCCCCUGCCUAGUUUCAUAGCAUGGAUAAGAGCCUGCCUUCCACUGUCUGGAAAGACCUGGACCAAACACUGGUAAAUGUUCUUAGGGUCCUUUGCUGGGUCCAUAACCCCCUGCCACCCAGCUUCCUCACUGAGUCCCCCUUCAAUGUUAACCUCAUCAAAGCAUGAGGAGAAGUUUAUUUCUUGUCCCACCAGUUUUUGUACAGUUUAUGAGGACCACAGAAAGAGGACAUGGAAAUAGCUUCCUUGUAUGAAGAAUCUGUUGGGAUGCAGAUUCUGUACUAAGCACUAUAUGUGCAUUAUUUCGAAUCUGCAUGACACACCUGCAAGGUGGAUAUCAUUGUCCCCAGUUGACACCACAAACUAAAAUUCUGAGAGGUUGAGUGACUUUGUCCUAGGCCACCUAGCUGAUGCUUAUAAAACCUUUAAAGUAUGCCUGAAUUGGGUGGAGCGCUAACCCUUCAGGCUGUGUGAGCUCGGGUGGGUUGCUUAACUUCUCUGUUUUCCCUGUCUGUAACUUGGGGAAAAUACAGUGUGUCAUGAGGAAGACAAUGAGAUAAGCAUCACACAUUUAGUAUAAAGCUCCCCUAUUGAAGGGUCUUUAAAUUACAUGGAAAUCUUUUCUUGGCCAUUGAAAUUUUUCAUAUCUUAGUAUUUUUUUUUUUUUUUUUAUUUUAACAGCUGCACCUGCAGCAUGUGGAAGUUCCCCGUCUAGGGGUUGAAUUGGAACUGCAGCUGCAGACCUACACCACAGCCAUGGCAACCCUGGAUCCAAGCACAGCUUGUGGCAAUGCCGGGUCCUUAAUCCACUGAGUGAGGCCAGGGAUUGAACCCGCACCCUCAUGGACACUAUGUCAGGGUCUUAACCCACUGAGCCACGGUGGGAACUCCCUCAUAUCUUAUUAAAAAAAAAUCAGUAUUUACUGAACAGAUUCUGUAUCAGAAAACAGAGCACAAGGUGUAUCUUCAUGAAAUAAAACAUGAAACACGCAGUCAAUGAUUUUAUUAUUUGGCAUUAGGAUAUCAAAGAAGUUUGUAAGAUUGUUUUUCCAGCAUAAAUUCCUUGGCAUUGCUUGAGAGAGCAUCUCAAACAGCGUGAAUAACAAACACAUUGUUAAAAUUUUCUCUUACCAGUGUUCUGACUUUCGUCUUUGAUCUUAUGAAUUUAGGCCAACACUUUGUUUUCUGUUUCUGUCCUGUAUACUCCGUUGGCAGGCAACACUUAAAAGCCCUGCGAAGAGAAACUUUGUGGGUGAAGACAAAUAAAGGCAACUAAUAAAAAAA
rnacentral:lncRNA from 1 species